AUUGAACGCUGGCGACAGGCCUAACACAUGCAAGUCGAGCGGCAGCGGGAAAGUAGCUUGCUACUUUUGCCGGCGAGCGGCGGACGGGUGGGUAAUGCCUGGGGAUCUGCCCAGUCGAGGGGGAUAACUACUGGAAACGGUAGCUAAUACCGCAUACGCCCUACGGGGGAAAGCAGGGGACCUUCGGGCCUUGCGCGAUUGGAUAUGCCCAGGUGGGAUUAGCUAGUUGGUGAGGUAAUGGCUCACCAAGGCGACGAUCCCUAGCUGGUCUGAGAGGAUGAUCAGCCACACUGGAACUGAGACACGGUCCAGACUCCUACGGGAGGCAGCAGUGGGGAAUAUUGCACAAUGGGGGAAACCCUGAUGCAGCCAUGCCGCGUGUGUGAAGAAGGCCUUCGGGUUGUAAAGCACUUUCAGCGAGGAGGAAAGGUCAGUAGCUAAUACCUGCUGGCUGUGACGUUACUCGCAGAAGAAGCACCGGCUAACUCCGUG
rnacentral:rRNA from 1 species